rnacentral:rRNA from 1 species
CCUACGGGCGACAGCAGUGGGGAAUAUUGGGCAAUGGGCGCAAGCCUGACCCAGCAACGCCGCGUGAAGGAAGAAGGCUUUCGGGUUGUAAACUUCUUUUCUCAGGGACGAAGCAAGUGACGGUACCUGAGGAAUAAGCCACGGCUAACUACGUGCCAGCAGCCGCGGUAAUACGUAGGGGGCAAGCGUUAUCCGGAUUUACUGGGUGUAAAGGGCGUGUAGGCGGGGACGCAAGUCAGAUGUGAAAACCAUGGGCUCAACCUGUGGCCUGCAUUUGAAACUGUGUUUCUUGAGUACAGGAGAGGCAGACGGAAUUCCUAGUGUAGCGGUGAAAUGCGUAGAUAUUAGGAGGAACACCAGUGGCGAAGGCGGUCUGCUGGACAGCAACUGACGCUGAGGCGCGAAAGCGUGGGGAGCAAACAGGAUUAGAUACCCCAGUAGUC